CAAAGUCUAUAUGAAAUAGGAAGGCACCCUGUGUGAAGUAGUGCCUGAGCUAUGCUUUGAGGGAAGCAGGGAUUCUGAGAGGGACAGGUAAGGAGGGUGGGCAUCCGGGCAGCUAGGCACCAUGAUGCCUUGAGUGGGGAAGUCAUUUGCCUGAGGUCGCCUAGGAAGGGAUAGAGUUAGGAUUGGAACCCAAAUCGUGUGACUCCAAGCCCCCAAGGCUGAGAGUAUUGAAAUGAGCUUGACCUCUGAGCUUUCCUGAAGGAAGACUUCUUGUUUCUCCUUCCUCUCCUAUUAAGCUUCUUCUUAUUUGACCUAUUAUUUCAUUCAGAACCUAAUGCUGUGAAGUUAGCUUCACUUGAAAGUGUAUUUGAGAGACAGAAGAAAACCCUGCAUGGAAGGGGCAAUGUGGGGUCUGCUUCCCGGGCAGAAGUAAAACAGGGGAAUAGAGCCCGGGAGUGAAGAGAGUGGGAUGGAGGUGAUCAGCAAAGGCAUCACUGAGGAGUCAAUUCAACAGGCCUUUAUUAUGCAUGAGGCACCGAGCUUGGAGUGGGGAUCUGGCUUAUGAAUUGAUUGAUGGAUGGAGGAUGAUUAGUCCUUCAAUCCAGUCAGGAUGAAAACCUUCAGGAUAACUGAAGAAGACAGUGGAGCUGAUGCUUAGACCCUCCAGAGAAGGGUCACUGGGAGACAGACACUGAACGUGAGUGGCUUAGACAAGGACAGCCACACGGCUGCUUCGGCUCCUACAUUCUUCCCUCUGUUCUUUG
rnacentral:lncRNA from 1 species